UCCUUGGCAGUCCAGUGGUUAGGAUUCCAUGCUUUCACUGCUGAGGGCCCAGGUUCAAUCCCUGGUCAGGGAA
rnacentral:tRNA from 1 species